GGCGGCGUAGCCAAGUGGUUAAGGCGGAGGUCUGCAAAACCUCUACUCUCCGGUUCAAGUCCGGACGCCGCCUCCA
rnacentral:tRNA from 1 species